GAACGGCAGCAUAGGAGCUUGCUCCUGAUGGCGAGUGGCGAACGGGUGAGUAAUAUAUCGGAACGUGCCCUAGAGUGGGGGAUAACUAGUCGAAAGACUAGCUAAUACCGCAUACGAUCUACGGAUGAAAGUGGGGGAUCGCAAGACCUCAUGCUCCUGGAGCGGCCGAUAUCUGAUUAGCUAGUUGGUGGGGUAAAAGCCUACCAAGGCGACGAUCAGUAGCUGGUCUGAGAGGACGACCAGCCACACUGGGACUGAGACACGGCCCAGACUCCUACGGGAGGCAGCAGUGGGGAAUUUUGGACAAUGGGGGCAACCCUGAUCCAGCAAUGCCGCGUGAGUGAAGAAGGCCUUCGGGUUGUAAAGCUCUUUUGUCAGGGAAGAAACGGUAGUAGCUAAUAUCUAUUACUAAUGACGGUACCUGAAGAAUAAGCACCGGCUAACUACGUGCCAGCAGCCGCGGUAAUACGUAGGGUGCAAGCGUUAAUCGGAAUUACUGGGCGUAAAGCGUGCGCAGGCGGUUGUGUAAGUCAGAUGUGAAAUCCCCGGGCUCAACCUGGGAAUUGCAUUUGAGACUGCACGGCUAGAGUGUGUCAGAGGGGGGUAGAAUUCC
rnacentral:rRNA from 1 species